rnacentral:rRNA from 1 species
UACGUAGGGUCCGAGCGUUGUCCGGAAUUAUUGGGCGUAAAGGGCUCGUAGGCGGUUUGUCGCGUCGGGAGUGAAAACACGGGGCUUAACCCCGUGCCUGCUUCCGAUACGGGCAGACUGGAGUACUGCAGGGGAGACUGGAAUUCCUGGUGUAGCGGUGGAAUGCGCAGAUAUCAGGAGGAACACCGGUGGCGAAGGCGGGUCUUUGGGCAGUAACUGACGCUGAGGAGCGAAAGCGUGGGGAGCGAACAGG